rnacentral:rRNA from 1 species
AAUGGGGGAUAACGUAGCGAAAGUUACGCUAAUACCGCAUAUGCCCUGAGGGGGAAAGGUGGGGAUCGCAAGACCUAUCGUUUUCGGAGUGGCCGAUAUCAGAUUAGCUAGUUGGUGGGGUAAAGGCCCACCAAGGCGACGAUCUGUAGCGGGUCUGAGAGGAUGAUCCGCCACACUGGGACUGAGACACGGCCCAGACUCCUACGGGAGGCAGCAGUGGGGAAUUUUGGACAAUGGGGGCAACCCUGAUCCAGCCAUGCCGCGUGAGUGAAGAAGGCCUUCGGGUUGUAAAGCUCUUUCAGCCGGAAAGAAAUCGCGCAGGCUAAUAUCCUGUGUGGAUGACGGUACCGGAAGAAGAAGCACCGGCUAACUACGUGCCAGCAGCCGCGGUAAUACGUAGGGUGCGAGCGUUAAUCGGAAUUACUGGGCGUAAAGCGUGCGCAGGCGGUUUUGUAAGACAGGCGUGAAAUCCCCGGGCUUAACCUGAGAACUGCGUUUGUGACUGCAAGGCUAGAGUGUGGCAGAGGGGGGUAGAAUUCCG